rnacentral:lncRNA from 1 species
GUAAUUUACCCUAAAAGCUAUUUUAUCCAAUUUUUCAUCAACUUAAGUCACUUGACAUACCUUAGAGUAUAAUACCAUCAUUCUCUCGCCUGUAAGCCCUUAACAUUUCAAAUAUGUUGCGAAUCUAACGUCUAAUUUACCCUCUAAAGUUAACUCUAUACACUAUUUCUUUAUGAAGAAUUGCCAAUCUACUCUCCAAUGUGCAUCACAUGCUAGUAACGUGACUUAAAUUGACGGAAGAUUGAAUAUAGUAGCUUUGUAUAUAAUAUUAAGGAUGUAAUUGGCAGAUUUUUAUAAUUUAAUGA